GGAGAUGAAAAUAAGCAAGCGUUCCCUGGCUCUGGCACAGCUCCAAAGCCGUGAUAUGUUGGAGCAUAGAGCCCCCUCACUGAUGCAGAGCUGAUCCUCUCCUCCACUGCCCUCUCAGGGGGAAGCCAGAAGGAAGCACUCUGCUGCAUCAUACACACUUGGUGAGCAAGGAGAGGGGAGGAGGGCAGGGAGUCCUCUCCGGCCCUGGAAAGGAUGGGAAAGGAUGCCUACCAGAUGUUUCUUCAACCCCUCUUUCUCAGAAACCCUGCUCAACAGCUAAGAACUCCAUUAAACACCACGAGAGUCACUCAUCAUGCUAGCCUCUGAAUUAGUACAUGUCAUCCUAGAAUCAGAAGAAGGUCCAAGGCUUCCCCGGCCAGGAGAAAAACAGGUACACGGGCGGGCGUGUUCCCUGGGGCACUCGGUGAACUGUCUACAGCCAGCAUAGUGAGCCUUGAGGGCAAACAGAUGCAGCCCUCAUCCUCGGUGUGCUCCACCAACGCAGGAGAGCGCUGCCCUCUAGCGAGCAAAAUGGGAGACUCAUUUCAGCUUGCUUCUCAGGAGCUUCGUGAACGCAGGAACUGCAAAGAUUGAAAAAUGCAAAGGAUCCCUUGCAAAUGUCUGAAAGAACCUUGAAAACUAAUCUUUAUGAACUCUCCAACUGUUUGUUGUAGUCUACCUGGACUAGGGAGAUAGGUACACAAAAUGGGUGAAUCUUAAAAAAAAAUAAAGAUGAGAGAUAACUAGUAAUAGAUCCAAA